GGAUGUUCCACAUGAUCGCAUGUGAUUGUGGGAAAGAUUUCAUCGGCGUGGGAUGGGGUCGCGUCCUAUCAGCUUGUUGGUGAGGUAACGGCUCACCAAGGCUUCGACGGGUAGCCGGCCUGAGAGGGCGACCGGCCACAUUGGGACUGAGAUACGGCCCAGACUCCUACGGGAGGCAGCAGUGGGGAAUAUUGCACAAUGGGCGCAAGCCUGAUGCAGCGACGCCGCGUGAGGGAUGGAGGCCUUCGGGUUGUAAACCUCUUUUGUUUGGGAGCAAGCCUUCGGGUGAGUGUACCUUUCGAAUAAGCGCCGGCUAACUACGUGCCAGCAGCCGCGGUAAUACGUAGGGCGCAAGCGUUAUCCGGAUUUAUUGGGCGUAAAGGGCUCGUAGGCGGCUCGUCGCGUCCGGUGUGAAAGUCCAUCGCUUAACGGUGGAUCUGCGCCGGGUACGG
rnacentral:rRNA from 1 species